CUGACCUCAGCCCCGGACUCGGUCCGAAGAGCGCGGCCCGGAGGGGGCGGGGCCGAGCCCGGAGGAAAGGCGGUGCGCAUGCGCGAGGCGAGCGGGCAGACGAAGGAAGAGUGGCCGGACCCGGCCGUGGUCACCGAAGCCCCCAGCCCUGUCCCCGCACGGAUGCCGGAAGCCCGUCCACACCGCGCGGGGAGCGGCGGUCCGGGUCCUCCUACGGCCUGGGGGCCCUGUCACCGCGAUCUUAAUUGAUGCCCGAAGGAUCCAGAGAAAGGACACAUUGGCGCCUGCCCAGGGCGGGCGGGGUCCCCCGGCGAGGCCAGGCCGAUGGGGUGGAUGGGCUUCUGCUCGCGACCGCCUUGUGGGGCGCUGGCAUCGGAUUGGAGUGGGGCAGCACCGGGGGAGGACAGAGACCCCACGCAGCAGGCCCAGGGGCAGGCGCUCGGCUCCUGCGUGCCACGCUCCGGCCUCCCCAGAUCGCCCCAGCACAGCCGCCCGCUGGAUCUUCCCUUCUCAGAAACCUGCAGUGGCCUCAGACCCAGACUCCCUGGACUUGCCCUUAAGGCCCACUAUUCCCUAAUUCAUCUCCUCUCACCUUGACUGCUCUUCCAUUCCCUUAUCCCCGCCAUACACAGCGGUCUUCCCUUGCCUGCGUCUGGGCGCCCUGGAUCUUCCCCUGUGCUCCAUCCCCCUAAUCUGUGACCCACCAAACGUGCCCAUCCCUCAAAGUGUAGCUAAAACUGCACUCCUUCUCCAACCAAACUCCAUAGCCCCUUAGUGUGUCUCAGUAUUCUCAGAAGAGCCCUGAGGUUGUGUCAAUUGAUUCUUCUCAAUAGAAAUAAUCCGUUACAUAAUUUAACAAUUUAUAUGCAUUGAUCAGGCUUUGCAAAUGAUGAUAUUUGCAAAUGAGAAAGAAAGUUCUUUGCCAGACCCAUGUAUCCUGAUUUACAAUUGUGCGUUGUAUCCUUUACUAGAUGGCUGCAUCCCCCAGGUGAGAGACUAUGCCUUAAUAUGCAGAAUAUCUAAAUUUUUUUGGAAUCCUGGUGAGAAAAAAAUUCAGAAGUUUGGAGAAAAUGGAAAUAUAACAAAUCUUUUUGCACUCUUCA